rnacentral:rRNA from 1 species
GUUAGGAAUAUUGGACAAUGGGCGCAAGCCUGAUCCAGCCAUGCCGCGUGAGUGAUGAAGGCCUUCGGGUUGUAAAGCUCUUUAGUCCACGAAUAUAAUGACUGUAGUGGAAGAAUAAGCCCCGGCUAACUUCGUGCCAGCAGCCGCGGUAAUACGAAGGGGGCGAGCGUUAUUCGGAAUCACUGGGCGUAAAGCGUGCGUAGGCUGUUUUGUAAGUCAGAAGCGAAAGCCCAGGGCUUAACCCUGGAAUUGCUUUUGAAACUACAAGACUCGAAUUCGGGAGAGGAUAGCGGAAUUGUCAGUGUAGCAGUGAAAUGCGUAGAUAUUGACAGGAACACCAGUGGCGCAAGCGGCUAUCUGGACCGAUAUUGACGCUGAGGCACGAAAGCGUGGGGAGCAAACGGGAUUAGAAACCCGUGUAGUCC